ACCUGUGUACUGUAUACUUGAAACUAAUUGAAAAAUGUUUAAAAAAUACUAAGCCCAAUGCCGUCUGAUCUCGGAAGCUAAGCAGGGUCAGGCCUGGUUAGUACUUGGAUGGGAGACCACCUAGGAAGAGCAGGUGCUGCAGGCG
rnacentral:rRNA from 1 species